GAUGAACGCUGGCGGCGUGCCUAAUACAUGCAAGUCGAGCGAAUGGAUUAAGAGCUUGCUCUUAUGAAGUUAGCGGCGGACGGGUGAGUAACACGUGGGUAACCUGCCCAUAAGACUGGGAUAACUCCGGGAAACCGGGGCUAAUACCGGAUAACAUUUUGAACCGCAUGGUUCGAAAUUGAAAGGCGGCUUCGGCUGUCACUUAUGGAUGGACCCGCGUCGCAUUAGCUAGUUGGUGAGGUAACGGCUCACCAAGGCAACGAUGCGUAGCCGACCUGAGAGGGUGAUCGGCCACACUGGGCCUGAGACACGGCCCAGACUCCUACGGGCGGCAGCAGUAGGGAAUCUUCCGCAAUGGACGAAAGUCUGACGGAGCAACGCCGCGUGAGUGAUGAAGGCUUUCGGGUCGUAAAACUCUGUUGUUAGGGAAGAACAAGUGCUAGUUGAAUAAGCUGGCACCUUGACGGUACCUAACCAGAAAGCCACGGCUAACUACGUGCCAGCCGCCGCCGUAA
rnacentral:rRNA from 1 species